rnacentral:misc_RNA from 1 species
GCCUAUAGCAAGAACAACAAAAACUAUUUACUACUGAAGGCGAGUUAAACAAGAUAACAUAGCAGGGAAGAGUAUGGCUCAGUCUUUCUGAUGGGAGAGAUAUAUCAAUCAGAAUUUAGUGUGGAUUGCCAAAAUAGCAGCAGAGAUUCAUGCAGUUCAUUUCCACAGUUAAUUCUUUUACCCUCUAGCUGUAAACAUUGUCAAAUUGCUAAUAUGUGUG